UGCCAGCAGCCGCGGUAAUACGGAGGGUGCAAGCGUUGUUCGGAAUCAUUGGGCGUAAAGCGGGUGUAGGCGGUGGCGCAAGUCGGAUGUGAAAUCCCGAGGCUCAACCUCGGAACUGCAUUCGAAACUGCGUCACUAGAGUCUCGGAGAGGGUGGCAGAAUUCCCGGUGUAGGGGUGAAAUCCGUAGAUAUCGGGAGGAAUACCAGUGGCGAAGGCGGCCACCUGGACGAUGACUGACGCUGAGACCUGAAAGCGUGGGGAGCAAACAGGAUUAGAUA
rnacentral:rRNA from 1 species